UUUAAAUUCAUUCUUGAAAAUUGUUGAGUUUGUGACUUUUUUUUUUUUAAAUGUGACAUAUACAGUUAUAUUUUUAAUUGCUUUAUGAUCUAAUAUAACUAUAAAGCAAUGGAAUAUGUAACUCAAAUUCACAAGAGAUUCGAGGGUUACAUUCUGGAUGUCAUUCUUGCUUUCAUCCUCACAAUCUACAUUCUGACAUUUGCUUGUUUCUCCUUUAUCCAUAUCCAUAUGAAUGGAAAAUGUGAGCUUGCAUAUAUAUGGAGUCACUGGAAUGUCUGUCUGAACUACUAUCAGUUAUAUCUUUUGUUUGGUAACUUUCUUAUAUUUUCCUACUCCUUGAAGUGCUUCGUCAAGAAUUAGAAGUGAUGCCACAUUUUGUAACAUUAUAACAUAAUGUGAGUGACUUUUAUGUACUUUCAGGGCAUUUGCAGAUGGGCUGGACAACAGCAGAACACAUUUGAUAUUGAAGUACAUUGAAGCAGCAUGUUCUGGGUGGAUUCCAGGAGGAUGAAAGUGACAGACAGAGAGAGCGAGAGAGAAGAGGAUGUGUAACUGCAUUUUCCUUUUUUUGUGUUCCUGUGCUCUACUGGAGGAAAAUGAAGAAAAUUAGACCUUGACAUGUUUUUUGAAAAGAACUCCUCUGUUCCCCUCCAUCCUGAGCCAGACCAGCGUCACUGAAUCAGUCACUUCAGAAACUUCACAGGUAAGAAUCACUGACUGAGUCCUCAACACACCAUCAGGGGGCUCCACUGAGA